CCUACGGGAGGCAGCAGUGAGGAAUAUUGGUCAAUGGGCGCAAGCCUGAACCAGCCAAGUCGCGUGAGGGAAUACGGCCCUACGGGUUGUAAACCUCUUUUGCCGGGGAGCAAGCCUGAGCACGUGUGCCGAGGCGGAGAGUACCCGGAGAAAAAGCAUCGGCUAACUCCGUGCCAGCAGCCGCGGUAAUACGGAGGAUGCGAGCGUUAUACGGAUUUAUUGGGUUUAAAGGGUGCGCAGGCGGGCUGUUAAGCCGGCGGUCAAAUGUCGGGGCUCAACCCCGUCGAGCCGUCGGAACUGGGAGCCUUGAGUGGGCGAGAAGUAUGCGGAAUGCGUGGUGUAGCGGUGAAAUGCAUAGAUAUCACGCAGAACGCCGAUUGCGAAGGCAGCAUACCGGCGCCCGACUGACGCUGAGGCACGAAAGUGUGGGGAUCGAACAGGAUUAGAUACCCCAGUAGUC
rnacentral:rRNA from 1 species